CUGCUGUCCUGCCUGUAGAGUGUUAGGCAAGCACCUACUUAGGCAGGAAGGGAGACAGCAACCAGGAGUGAAGACAUUGCUCUUUAAAGUGUAUGAUACCAGUCCUAGCUCCUAGAAAAUCAAAAUCAGGCCUUUGGAAGAAAUCACAUUCCGACACAGAUGGUCCUGCCUGACAAGCCCAGCCAGCCUUUGGAGCCUUUGGAGUGAGAGUUGAGACAAACCUAAAGUAAGGGGAAUUUGCACCAAGGUGAGUAAGUGCUUGUAUUUAAAGGCGAAAAGAGGUUUUAAACCUGAAUAUGCAUACUCAAUUCACUGGGCUCUCUUUGCCUUUCUUUUUUGCUUUUAUUAGAUUCAUUUUUGUAAAGUCUACAGAAAUUUUCUCUAAUGGUAACUUUUAAAAACACUGCACCUUGGAGUUCCCGUCAUGGCUCAGUGGCUAACAAAUCCGACUAGGAACCAUGGAGGUUGCAGGUUCGAUCCCUGGCCUUGCUCAGUGGUUUAAGGAUCCAGCGUUGCCGUGAGCUGUGGUGUAGAUUGCAGACGUGGCUCGGAUCCCACGUUGCUGUGGCUGUGGCGUAGGCCUGUGGUAACAGCUCCAAUUGGACCCCUAGCCUGGGAACCUUCAUAUGCCGCAGGUGUGGCCCUAUAAAAGGCAAAAAGACAAAAAAUAAAAAUAAAAACACUGCACCUUGCUCGUGAUAAUGGGGCUGUGAUUUUUUUUUCUCUAAACAGGAUCGCCCAUUUUGUAUUAUAUUCAUCCCUCCUGCCUCCAGACACGUCUCUCCUCUCUCCCCAGCUCCAGGACAGGCCCAGAGACAUCCGCUUCCAUGAGGAGCCAUCUUUGGAGCAAAAGAAUAGGAACUCCUGAAUAACCUCCACCACAGCUGUGUGCACAGAGCCCAGAACAGUAAAUUGUUCAACACUCAAGGCUCUUGGCUGUUUAACUUCUGUUAGGCAGCAGAGGCCAGGAAACAAGUGGAGAACCAGAAGAGGAAGGAAAGCCCCAGGAGUAGGCUUUACCAACUUCCUAGCAUACACGUUCAACCUUGGGAAUAUGGACAACUGAGUGUUGUAAUGAGGACCCACAGAGCCGAUGACUCUCUUAAGGUGAGAAACAUAAAUACAGACAAAUAUAAUAUGAGAACUUGCUCUGAGAACUCUCCUAUCAGUGAUUUUUUUUCUUUC
rnacentral:lncRNA from 1 species